AGGACGAACGCUGGCGGCGUGCUUAACACAUGCAAGUCGAGCGAGGCCCUGUCUUCGGACAGGUGCCCUAGCGGCGAACGGGUGAGUAACACGUGGGCAACCUGCCCCUAGCACUGGGAUAACUCCGGGAAACCGGGGCUAAUACCAGAUAUGACCUCCGAGGGCAUCCUCGUUGGUGUAAAGGAUUCUGGCUAGGGGAUGGGGCCCGCGGCCUAUCAGCUUGUUGGUGGGGUAACGCCUACCAAGGCGACGACGGGUAGCCGGCCUGAGAGGGCGACCGGCCACACUGGGACUGAGACACGGCCCAGACUCCUACGGGAGGCAGCAGUGGGGAAUAUUGCACAAUGGGCGAAAGCCUGAUGCAGCGACGCCGCGUGAGGGAUGACGGCCUUCGGGUUGUAAACCUCUUUCAGCUCCGACGAAGCGAAAGUGACGGUAGGAGCAGAAGAAGCACCGGCCAACUACGUGCCAGCAGCCGC
rnacentral:rRNA from 1 species